rnacentral:rRNA from 1 species
GAUGAACGCUGGCGGCGUGCCUAAUACAUGCAAGUCGAGCGAACGGACGAGGAGCUUGCUUCUCUGAUGUUAGCGGCGGACGGGUGAGUAACACGUGGAUAACCUACCUAUAAGACUGGGAUAACUUCGGGAAACCGGAGCUAAUACCGGAUAAUAUUUUGAACCGCAUGGUUCAAAAGUGAAAGACGGUCUUGCUGUCACUUAUAGAUGGAUCCGCGCUGCAUUAGCUAGUUGGUAAGGUAACGGCUUACCAAGGCAACGAUGCAUAGCCGACCUGAGAGGGUGAUCGGCCACACUGGAACUGAGACACGGUCCAGACUCCUACGGGAGGCAGCAGUAGGGAAUCUUCCGCAAUGGGCGAAAGCCUGACGGAGCAACGCCGCGUGAGUGAUGAAGGUCUUCGGAUCGUAAAACUCUGUUAUUAGGGAAGAACAUAUGUGUAAGUAACUGUGCACAUCUUGACGGUACCUAAUCAGAAAGCCACGGCUAACUACGUGCCAGCAGCCGCGGUAAUACGUAGGUGGCAAGCGUUAUCCGGAAUUAUUGGGCGUAAAGCGCGCGUAGGCGGUUUUUUAAGUCUGAUGUGAAAGCCCACGGCUCAACCGUGGAGGGUCAUUGGAAACUGGAAAACUUGAGUGCAGAAGAGGAAAGUGGAAUUCCAUGUGUAGCGGUGAAAUGCGCAGAGAUAUGGAGGAACACCAGUGGCGAAGGCGACUUUCUGGUCUGUAACUGACGCUGAUGUGCGAAAGCGUGGGGAUCAAACAGGAUUAGAUACCCUGGUAGUCCACGCCGUAAACGAUGAGUGCUAAGUGUUAGGGGGUUUCCGCCCCUUAGUGCUGCAGCUAACGCAUUAAGCACUCCGCCUGGGGAGUACGACCGCAAGGUUGAAACUCAAAGGAAUUGACGGGGACCCGCACAAGCGGUGGAGCAUGUGGUUUAAUUCGAAGCAACGCGAAGAACCUUACCAAAUCGUGACAUCCUUUGACAACUCUAGAGAUAGAGCCUUCCCCUUCGGGGGGCAAAGUGACAGGUGGUGCAUGGUUGUCGUCAGCUCGUGUCGUGAGAUGUUGGGUUAAGUCCCGCAACGAGCGCAACCCUUAAGCUUAGUUGCCAUCAUUAAGUUGGGCACUCUAAGUUGACUGCCGGUGACAAACCGGAGGAAGGUGGGGAUGACGUCAAAUCAUCAUGCCCCUUAUGAUUUGGGCUACACACGUGCUACAAUGGACAAUACAAAGGGCAGCGAAACCGCGAGGUCAAGCAAAUCCCAUAAAGUUGUUCUCAGUUCGGAUUGUAGUCUGCAACUCGACUACAUGAAGCUGGAAUCGCUAGUAAUCGUAGAUCAGCAUGCUACGGUGAAUACGUUCCCGGGUCU